CAUUACUGGGUCACCGGGUGCUUCGGCGCCCACCCCCACCCUUCGCUUCCCGCCCCACAAUCGGCGUCAGGCGGGCCCCCCUUCGGGGUGCCCUCCGGCCGAAACCCAAACCCUCGCAACCCUUUGCAGCCUGAAGUCAAAAGAAAAUAAUUAAAACUUUCAACAACGGAUCUCUUGGUUCUGGCAACGAUGAAGAACGCAGCGAAAUGCGAUAAGUAAUGUGAAUUGCAGAAUUCAGUGAAUCAUCGAAUCUUUGAACGCACAUUGCGCCCCCUGGUAUUCCGGGGGGCACACCUGUUCGAGCGCCAUUUCAACCCUCAAGCCCCGCUUGGUGAUGGGCCCCGCCCGCGGGCGGGCCCGAAACUCGUGGGCGUCGUCGUUCGGCUCCAAGCGUAGCAAAACCCUCGCUUGGGCGCCCGGACGGCGGCCGCCCGGAACGAAUUUUUACAAGGUUGGCCUCGGAUCAGGUGGGGAUACCC
rnacentral:rRNA from 1 species